UAAAUUACAUUAUUACCCCAUUGUACCCGCAAAUUGAACAACGUUUGCACAAAACUAUACAGUUUAUGUGGAUACAAAAGCAUAACCGAUAUUAUUGUCAUUGUUAAAUGAAUUUAAUUAUCCAGCCUGCCUGUAAAUCUUUACUCGACGUUAAUCUUUCUAUGCGUAAAUGAUGUCCUCAUAAAGUGUCUAUAUACUUAACUAUACACAUCGAAUUUAAAUAUCAGUUUCCUGAACACUCUGCCACACGUUACUUGCAGUUCAUACGCUCUAAUUCUGAUGAUUACAACUUUCGAGCAAAAAAUUUUUUGGAUUUUAUUUUCCUUCUUGUGUACCGUGUUAAUGAUACUUAGCAGUGUUCGAUUAUGUCAAUUGAUUAGUGAGAAGUUUUUCGCAAACAGAGAUCGAAUCGUUAUAAUUGGUGAAGAAGGCAACUUAACAAUUAUUGACCCACGACGUGACAUUGAAAACCCAAACGACUUCUUUACAGUAAAACAGUCAUACAAAAAUUUAGCACCGCCGUUAUAUUCAACGUUAUCAAAAGCUAAAUCGUUUUCUUCGUAUGAAUUGCCGCCUCCAUAUCCAGUUGUUCAUAUUUAAUAAAUUUAUACAAUAAAACAUUAUUCAAA